rnacentral:rRNA from 1 species
GGGUCAGUAGGUUGGUCGUGCCACCGGUACGUACUGGUCUCACUGAUUCCUCCUUCCUGAAGAACCGUAAUGCCAUUAAUUUGGUGUUGCGGGGAAACAGGACUGUUACUUUGAAAAAAUUAGAGUGUUUAAAGCAAGCUAACGCUUGAAUACAUUAGCGUGGAAUAAUGAAAUAGGACGAUCGAUCCUAUUUUGUCGGUUUCUAGGAUUGACGUA